AUUGAACGCUGGCGGCAGGCCUAACACAUGCAAGUCGAGCGAGUGGCGCACGGGUGAGUAACGCAUCGGAACGUAUCGAGUCAUGGGGGAUAACUGUCCGAAAGGACAGCUAAUACCGCAUAUUAUUCGAGCGGCCGAUGUCUGAUUAUCUGGUUGGCGGGGUAAAGGCCCACCAAGGCGACGAUCAGUAGCGGGUCUGAGAGGAUGAUCCGCCACAAUGGGACUGAGACACGGCCCAGACGCCUACGGGAGGCAGCAGUGGGGAAUUGUGGACAAUGGGCGCAAGCCUGAGCCAGCCAUGCCGCGUGUCUGAAGAAGGCCUUCGGUUUGUAAAGGACUUUUGUCAGGGAAGCGGUACCUGAAGAAUAAGCACCGGCUAACUACGUGCCAGCCGCCGCGGUAAUAC
rnacentral:rRNA from 1 species